CCCUGCCGGCCGCCACCACAUUCCCUGAGCCGCGCUCCUGCCGGAGCCGUCGAGCUGGAUUUCGUAUCUUUCUUCUCUCUCCCUCUUGGUGUUGUCGGAGGGGCCUCGGCGCAGCGGGGCCUUUACGUCCCGGGCUUUGUGGCGUCUUGAGCAAGUCAGCCCCUUGGCAACCCGCCUCCCACACGGACAGACAGGUGCCCCCGGGCGUCCCCAGGCUUGGGGAUGGAUUCAAGCGGCCGUCACUAGCGCACUCGAGAUUAUUACCUCCUUCUGUGACUCAACCAACCGUGUCUGCUGCCUUCCUUUCACGCUUGGCCGUGCGUGCUAGAAUGUACGGUGGUCGUACGUGCACCCUGGGCAUCUUUCUAGAAACCUCUCCUACGGAAGCAUCACACAAGCGUGCAGAGGUAUCCGCACGGGGCCGUGUGGAACGGCCCCCACCGGGAAGGCUCCGAACGUCCAUCCGGAAAGAGCUGCUGGCUCCGCGGCUGGUUGAGGGCUGGAAGCUCCUGAAGGGUACGAAAUCCCAAGAUGCUAUACUUUGCCUGAAUCCGUUUUUACCACGUAUUUAAAACGUGCGUGUACGUCGUUAUCACGCGCUCCGUAAAAACCCGGAGACCUGGCUACGGACCUGUGAAAUUUCUUAUCGCCGGGGGCAUAAUUAACAGAGCGGUUUCCUUUCUA